CCGGGACGCAGGAGGUCCCACGCCGGGUGCGCACACCGGUGAGGACCCGGAGCCCUGGGAGGUAUCGCGUUUCUCUAGGACUCAGAGCCAACUUGACUCUCUCAGAUCCUGCACAUCUUCAUGCAGCUACUGAGCUGCCUGAGGUGACACAUUCAGACCUUGUCUGGGAGAAAAAGUAUCGAUGUACAACCAGCUGAGCAAGCAUUUGUCUGGGAUGAAACGAUGUUCUGAGACAUGGAACUUCUAGAGCUAAAACAAGGAGAAUCCUGAAAAACUACAAUGGAGUGCUGGAAGCAUCGCCCUGCUCUCAGGUGCUUAGCUUUGUUGGCUCCCAGAGUGUCCCCUCAUCCCUUCUGGUCCAGGUCUUGGCUCCUGAGGAGUUUGCAGCCCCUAAGGAAUAGAGUGGAAUGCACAAAGCAUUCUUGGGUUGGGACGUGGAGCCUCCAUGGAUGGCUCGCUGCCUGAUGGAUAAUGGAGACGGGAGCUUGUUAGGCCACCCCCACACCCUGUCAGACAAUGCCAGGAAUGACUGAGAAGCACACAGCAUACUGCCUACAUCAGCAUGGUGACAUUGCUGUAAUCU